CCUACGGGAGGCUGCAGUGAGGAAUAUUGGUCAAUGGGCGUAAGCCUGAACCAGCCAAGUCGCGUGAGGGAUGAAGGUUCUAUGGAUCGUAAACCUCUUUUAUAAGGGAGUAAAGUGUGGGACGUGUCCUAUUUUGCAUGUACCUUCUGAAUAAGGAUCGGCUAACUCCGUGCAAGCAGCCGCGGUAAUACGGAGGGUCCGAGCGUUAUCCGGAUUUAUUGGGUUUAAAGGGUGCGUAGGCGGCCUUGCAAGUCCGCGGUGAAAGUCUGUGGCUCAACCAUAGAACUGCCGUGGAAACUGGGGGACUUGAGUGUGGGAGAGGCAGGCGGAAUGCGUGGUGUAGCGGUGAAAUGCGUAGAUAUCAGGCAGAACCCCGAUGGCGAAGGCAGCCUGCCGGGCCGUAACUGACGCUGAUGCACGAAAGCGUGGGGAUCAAACAGGAUUAGAUACCCCUGUAGUC
rnacentral:rRNA from 1 species